rnacentral:rRNA from 1 species
UACGGAGGGUGCAAACGUUGCUCGGAAUCAUUGGGCGUAAAGCGCGUGUAGGCGGUCCGGUAAGUCCGCUGUGAAAGUCGGGGGCUCAACCCUCGGAUGCCGGUGGAUACUGUCGGGCUUGAGUACGGAAGAGGCGAGUGGAAUUCCUGGUGUAGCGGUGAAAUGCGCAGAGUAUCAGGAGGAACACCUAUAGCGAAGGCAGCUUGCUGGGACGUUACUGACGCUAAGGCGCGAAAGCGUGGGAGCGAACAGG